CAUAGCGACUAUCGUGGCAUAUCAAUAAGCGGAGGAAAAGUAAACUAACUAGGAUUCCCUCAGUAACGGCGAGUGAAGCGGGAAGAGCUCAAAUUUGAAAUCUUCAAGGUUUACCUUGACGAAUUGUAGUUUAAAGAAGUGUUUUCUGUUAGAGGAGUUAGGUAAAAGUUCUUUGGAAUAGGACAUCAUAGAGGGUGAGAAUCCCGUAUUUGACUAUUCUUUCUAGCUGUGUGAUACACUUUCAAAGAGUCGGAUUGUUUGGGAAUGCAGUCCAAAAUGGGUGGUAAAUUUCAUCUAAAGCUAAAUAUUGGCGAGAGACCGAUAGCGAACAAGUACCGUGAGGGAAAGAUGAAAAGAACUUUGAAAAGAGAGUUAAACAGUACGUGAAAUUGUCAAAAGGGAAGCGUUUGACACCAGUGUUGUUUUUCCGAAAAUCAAUUAAAAAUUGAUUCAUGCCAGGUUGUAUUGACCUUAUCAGCUUGCAAUUUGGUUUUGGGUCUCUUUUUGAUGCACUUUUCGGUUAACAUGUCAACAUCAAUUUCCUUUGCUGUAAAAAGGUAAGAGGAAGGUGGCUUCAAUUUCGGUUGAAGUGUUUAUAGCCUUUUAUCUCUGCAGUCGGGGAGAUUGAGGUCUGCAGCGUAGAUCCUUCGGGGCUAGAUACAUUUAUGCUAAGUUAUAGCUUUUCAUAGACAACUUGUUGACUAUGUUUAGUCAUGUAGCUUACUCGUAAGUGCUAUUUUACCUACGCUUAGGAUGUUGAUAGUCACAGCGUGUAC
rnacentral:rRNA from 1 species